rnacentral:tRNA from 1 species
GAAGUUGUAGCCUAGUGGUUAAAGCAUCAGAUUCACAACUUGAAGGUCGGGGUUCGAUUCCCGAUCCCA